AAGCCAUCUAGCCUUGUGAUUGGACAAGCCAAUCGCGCGCGACCUAUAACAGAUCCUGAGGGGGAAAAAAGCAACUGUCGCGAGACUUGGAGUUUGUGGCUUCUGCAGGUAGAAAGCGGGGGUGUGGUAGCAAGCGGAGUCCUGUGAGGUGGAUUCUGUGAUGUAGCUGAUUCUGUCACAUGGACCACACCAGGGGAAACACUGACUCUCAGAGGGAGAUGGCAGAGAGAGAGGGAGCCUAGAAUGCUAUCAGGACCUCCCACGUGGAUGACAGACCUGACUCCCAGGGGGUGCAUUAGCAGGAAGCUGGAGUGAGGAGCAGAGCCAGGACUGGAACCCAGGCACUCUGAAGUGGGAUGCAGAGUGGACAGUGAGAGAGACAGAGAGAAAGAUCUUCCUUUGCCGUUGGUUCACCCUCCAAUGGCCGCCGCACUGUGCUGAUGCGAUGGCAGGAGCCAGGUACUUAUCCAUUACUACCUUGUAAGAGGAAUCAUACUGUGUUUGUCCUUUGUGGUGUUCAUUUUACUCAGCAUAGUGUCCAGGUUCACAAGUAUAGAGCACAGCUCUGAAUUUCUGUCCUUUUUCAGGUGAAUAAUAUAUCAUUGUGUGUAUAAACUGUAUUUUGUUUAUCCAUUUACCUUUUUUUUUAAAAAGAUUUAUUUAUUCGAAGGUCAGAGUUACACAGAGAGAGGAGAAGCAGAGAGAGAGAGAUGGAGGGAGGGAGGGAGAGAGAGAGGUCUUCCAUCCACUGGUUCACUCCCCCGUUGGCUGUAAGGGCUGGAGCUGUGCUGAUCCAAAGCCAGGAGCCAGGAGCUUCUUCUGGGUCUCCUACGCGGGUGCAGGGGCCCAAGGACUUGGGCCAUUUUCUACUGCUAUCCCAGGCCACAGCAGAGAACUGAAUUGGAAGUGGAACAGCCGGGACUAGAACUGGCGCCCAUAUGGGAUGCUGGCGCUUCAGGCCAGGGUGUUAACCCGCUGCGCCAUAGUGCCGGCCCCCAU